GAUGAACGCUAGCUACAGGCUUAACACAUGCAAGUCGCGGGGCAGCAUGUACUUAGCUUGCUACCUCUGAUGGCGACCGGCGCACGGGUGAGUAACGCGUACCCAACCUGCCCAUCACACCGGGAUAACCCUGCGAAAGCAAGACUAAUACCUGAUGUUGUCAAUUUUAUGCAUCCGUGAUUGACUAAAGCCUUCGCGCGGAGAUGGAUGGCGUUGCGUCCAAUUAGUUAAUUGGCGGGGUACGGGCCACCCGUUCCUCGGAUGGGUAGGGGUCUUGGAAGAAAGUUCCCCCACACGGGAAUUGGGAAACGGCCAAGACUCCUCGGGGAGGCAGCAGUGAGGAAUAUUGGUCAAUGGGCGUAAGCCUGAACCACCAAAGUAGCGUCGAGGAUGACGGCCUUAUGGGUGUUAACCUGUUUUUAGGCGGGGAUAAGGGGGCCACCGUGUGUGCCUUUGCAGGUACCGGAUGAAUAAGGACCGGCUAAUUCCGUG
rnacentral:rRNA from 1 species